UGAGUUGGCCAGACAGCCGCUGGUGGGGUAACCCGCGAGAGGAAAGUCCGGGCUCCAUAGGACAGGGUGCCAGGUAACACCUGGGGGGCGUGAGCCUACGGAAAGUGCAACAGAGAGUAGACCGCCAAAGAUGUGUCGACUUACCUCGAUGUGUCCGGUAAGGGUGAAACGGUGCGGUAAGAGCGCACCGCGCGCGUGGCAACACUGCGUGGCUAGGUAAACCCCACCUGGAGCAAGGCCAAAUAGGAAUCCUAUCGCGUGGUCCGCGCGGGAUUCGGGUGGGCUGCUGGAGGUGUUCGGUGACGAACAUCGUAGAUGAAUGGCUGUCUGCGGUGAAUGCUUCAUCGUGACAGAACCCGGCUUAUCGGCUGACUCAACUU
rnacentral:RNase_P_RNA from 1 species